rnacentral:rRNA from 1 species
CAAGGCGACGAUCCCUAGCUGGUCUGAGAGGAUGACCAGCCACACUGGAACUGAGACACGGUCCAGACUCCUACGGGAGGCAGCAGUGGGGAAUAUUGCACAAUGGGCGCAAGCCUGAUGCAGCCAUGCCGCGUGUAUGAAGAAGGCCUUCGGGUUGUAAAGUACUUUCAGCGGGGAGGAAGGUGUUGUGGUUAAUAACCGCAGCAAUUGACGUUACCCGCAGAAGAAGCACCGGCUAACUCCGUGCCAGCAGCCGCGGUAAUACGGAGGGUGCAAGCGUUAAUCGGAAUUACUGGGCGUAAAGCGCACGCAGGCGGUCUGUCAAGUCGGAUGUGAAAUCCCCGGGCUCAACCUGGGAACUGCAUUCGAAACUGGCAGGCUUGAGUCUUGUAGAGGGGGGUAGAAUUCCAGGUGUAGCGGUGAAAUGCGUAGAGAUCUGGAGGAAUACCGGUGGCGAAGGCGGCCCCCUGGACAAAGACUGACGCUCAGGUGCGAAAGCGUGGGGAGCAAACAGGAUUAGAUACCCUGGUAGUCCACGCCGUAAACGAUGUCUACUUGGAGGUUGUGCCCUUGAGGCGUGGCUUCCGGAGCUAACGCGUUAAGUAGACCGCCUGGGGAGUACGGCCGCAAGGUUAAAACUCAAAUGAAUUGACGGGGGCCCGCACAAGCGGUGGAGCAUGUGGUUUAAUUCGAUGCAACGCGAAGAACCUUACCUGGUCUUGACAUCCACGGAAGUUUUCAGAGAUGAGAAUGUGCCUUCGGGAACCGUGAGACAGGUGCUGCAUGGCUGUCGUCAGCUCGUGUUGUGAAAUGUUGGGUUAAGUCCCGCAACGAGCGCAACCCUUAUCCUUUGUUGCCAGCGGUCCGGCCGGGAACUCAAAGGAGACUGCCAGUGAUAAACUGGA